rnacentral:rRNA from 1 species
UGUGAGCUCGAUGAGUAGGGCGGGACACGUGGUAUCCUGUCUGAAUAUGGGGGGACCAUCCUCCAAGGCUAAAUACUCCUGACUGACCGAUAGUGAACCAGUACCGUGAGGGAAAGGCGAAAAGAACCCCGGCGAGGGGAGUGAAAAAGAACCUGAAACCGUGUACGUACAAGCAGUGGGAGCCUCUUUUAUGGGGUGACUGCGUACCUUUUGUAUAAUGGGUCAGCGACUUAUAUUCUGUAGCAAGGUUAACCGAAUAGGGGAGCCGAAGGGAAACCGAGUCUUAACUGGGCGUUAAGUUGCAGGGUAUAGACCCGAAACCCGGUGAUCUAGCCAUGGGCAGGUUGAAGGUUGGGUAACACUAACUGGAGGACCGAACCGACUAAUGUUGAAAAAUUAGCGGAUGACUUGUGGCUGGGGGUGAAAGGCCAAUCAAACCGGGAGAUAGCUGGUUCUCCCCGAAAGCUAUUUAGGUAGCGCCUCGUGAACUCAUCUCCGGGGGUAGAGCACUGUUUCGGCAAGGGGGUCAUCCCGACUUACCAACCCGAUGCAAACUGCGAAUACCGGAGAAUGUUAUCACGGGAGACACACGGCGGGUGCUAACGUCCGUCGUGAAGAGGGAAACAACCCAGACCGCCAGCUAAGGUCCCAAAGUCAUGGUUAAGUGGGAAACGAUGUGGGAAGGCCCAGACAGCCAGGAUGUUGGCUUAGAAGCAGCCAUCAUUUAAAGAAAGCGUAAUAGCUCACUGGUCGAGUCGGCCUGCGCGGAAGAUGUAACGGGGCUAAACCAUGCACCGAAGCUGCGGCAGCGACACUGUGUGUUGUUGGGUAGGGGAGCGUUCUGUAAGCCUGUGAAGGUGUACUGUGAGGUAUGCUGGAGGUAUCAGAAGUGCGAAUGCUGACAUAAGUAACGAUAAAGCGGGUGAAAAGCCCGCUCGCCGGAAGACCAAGGGUUCCUGUCCAACGUUAAUCGGGGCAGGGUGAGUCGACCCCUAAGGCGAGGCCGAAAGGCGUAGUCGAUGGGAAACAGGUUAAUAUUCCUGUACUUGGUGUUACUGCGAAGGGGGGACGGAGAAGGCUAUGUUGGCCGGGCGACGGUUGUCCCGGUUUAAGCGUGUAGGCUGGUUUUCCAGGCAAAUCCGGAAAAUCAAGGCUGAGGCGUGAUGACGAGGCACUACGGUGCUGAAGCAACAAAUGCCCUGCUUCCAGGAAAAGCCUCUAAGCAUCAGGUAACAUCAAAUCGUACCCCAAACCGACACAGGUGGUCAGGUAGAGAAUACCAAGGCGCUUGAGAGAACUCGGGUGAAGGAACUAGGCAAAAUGGUGCCGUAACUUCGGGAGAAGGCACGCUGAUAUGUAGGUGAAGUCCCUCGCGGAUGGAGCUGAAAUCAGUCGAAGAUACCAGCUGGCUGCAACUGUUUAUUAAAAACACAGCACUGUGCAAACACGAAAGUGGACGUAUACGGUGUGACGCCUGCCCGGUGCCGGAAGGUUAAUUGAUGGGGUCAGCGCAAGCGAAGCUCUUGAUCGAAGCCCCGGUAAACGGCGGCCGUAACUAUAACGGUCCUAAGGUAGCGAAAUUCCUUGUCGGGUAAGUUCCGACCUGCACGAAUGGCGUAAUGAUGGCCAGGCUGUCUCCACCCGAGACUCAGUGAAAUUGAACUCGCUGUGAAGAUGCAGUGUACCCGCGGCAAGACGGAAAGACCCCGUGAACCUUUACUAUAGCUUGACACUGAACAUUGAGCCUUGAUGUGUAGGAUAGGUGGGAGGCUUAGAAGUGUGGACGCCAGUCUGCAUGGAGCCGACCUUGAAAUACCACCCUUUAAUGUUUGAUGUUCUAACGUUGACCCGUGAUCCGGGUUGCGGACAGUGUCUGGUGGGUAGUUUGACUGGGGCGGUCUCCUCCUAAAGAGUAACGGAGGAGCACGAAGGUUGGCUAAUCCUGGUCGGACAUCAGGAGGUUAGUGCAAUGGCAUAAGCCAGCUUGACUGCGAGCGUGACGGCGCGAGCAGGUGCGAAAGCAGGUCAUAGUGAUCCGGUGGUUCUGAAUGGAAGGGCCAUCGCUCAACGGAUAAAAGGUACUCCGGGGAUAACAGGCUGAUACCGCCCAAGAGUUCAUAUCGACGGCGGUGUUUGGCACCUCGAUGUCGGCUCAUCACAUCCUGGGGCUGAAGUAGGUCCCAAGGGUAUGGCUGUUCGCCAUUUAAAGUGGUACGCGAGCUGGGUUUAGAACGUCGUGAGACAGUUCGGUCCCUAUCUGCCGUGGGCGCUGGAGAACUGAGGGGGGCUGCUCCUAGUACGAGAGGACCGGAGUGGACGCAUCACUGGUGUUCGGGUUGUCAUGCCAAUGGCACUGCCCGGUAGCUAAAUGCGGAAGAGAUAAGUGCUGAAAGCAUCUAAGCACGAAACUUGCCCCGAGAUGAGUUCUCCCUGACUCCUUGAGAGUCCUGAAGGAACGUUGAAGACGACGACGUUGAUAGGCCGGGUGUGUAAGCGCAGCGAUGCGUUGAGCUAACCGGUACUAAUGAACCGUGAGGCUUAACCUUACAACGCCGAAGGUGUUU